UGUUUAUCAGGGUGCAGUCUGGCAAUCUGUUUUUUGUUCGACCGUCUCGCGCAGUCACCUGUUACCUACUUAAGUUUGCGAUCUAAGAAGUCUGUGCUUUUGUGUCUUCUAAUGCAUUUCGCGGUAAUUUUGUUGAGAGUGACGAAUGAGUGAGCUUUGUUGAAGAGGAUUUUUCAACAAAAAAAGUAAUGGCUGAUGGAUAUUUGUAUUAUGUUAGAGCAGAAGUCUUCAAUUCCCACUGAUCUUAAUUCUUACUUUUUGAGAAAGUUUGAGAAAAAUAAAAAAACGAACUGGAUCUGAUGAAAAAUAAUGGCUAUGGAUAUUUGUAUUAUGAUGGAGCAUAAAACUACAAUUCUAACUGAUGGUAAUUCUUCCUUUUUGGUAUGAGUAUAUGAAAAGAAAAAACAAGAUGAAUUCGAGAUGAUGAAGUAAGAAGCUGAUGGUGAAUUCCUUGACAAUAACUCUCUUUUCGUUAAUAAGAACUUUCCGAACCAAUUCCAACUACCUCGUUAGUGCUACCGAGUCCAUCAUUUCCAACAGGUCUGCAAAUGGAUGCUUUUAUGGCAUGAACGUCAUGAACCUUCAUAAUUGAAUAGACCAACUUUUCCCAUCAGUGAAUUUCGGAACAGACCGAAUCGAAUUUUAUUCAGCACUCGAAACUAAUGAGGCAGAAACGAUCGAAAAGCAGUCCGCACAUAGAAUACAGUUUCAUCUUCUUAAUUGCUGCUCUAAUUAUCAUUUGCAACGCGACACUAUCCAGGGCUGCAACUAAACUCCAG